UCCCUGGUGGUCCAGUGGUUAGGACUCUGCACUUCCACUGCAGGGGAUGCGGGUUCGAUCCCCGGUUGGGGAA